rnacentral:lncRNA from 1 species
AAUGCAGUGACUGUUCCCUCUGUGUUUACGUCUCCCUCACUAAAUGCUUUCCCAUGUUUAUUUGCUAGUAGACACUUAAGUUAGUCUCAAAUUCCCAUAUGUCAUGCUCUUCAAAGGGCUUUAUUCCUAUUUCUGGAAGCAGGAAUCUAAUAAAAAUAUAACAAAAUAAUCUUGUAAGAUAAAAAUCAAUUCCUAGCCGGGUGUAGUGGCACACGCCUUUAAUCCCAGCACUUGGGAGGCAGAGGCAGGCGGAUUUCUGAGUUCGAGGACAGCCAGGGCUACACAGAGAAACCCUGUCUCGAAAAAAAAAAAAAAAACAAAACAAAAAAAAUCAUUUCCUACUUAAUUUGUAGGCCAGCCUUUUAAUUCCUUGUCUUUUAUUGUAUUGUAAAUGCAUUCACCUGGGCAGUGAGUGAUACAGUAAACACCAUAAAGCCACUUAGGCUUCUGGUCCACAGUCAGCUUAGGGUUAGUAAUAGAACUUUUUACAUUCCAGGCCAAGAUAUGUGUAUAGUUUCUGGAAUCGAUUUGUUUAUAGUUAAUAUUUCCUUUAUUUUUUUUUUCCUUGCUGUUAAGGAUUGAACCCAGGGCUUCACACCUGACAGUGCUCUAUCACUGAACUGCAGCCCAUCUCAUAACAGUGUAUUUUAAAAGUAGGUUUUUAAUCUUGCCCGAUGUUUAAGUUUACUGGCAAGUAACCUUUUAGCUUGGAAAAUUGCCAGUUUGGGAGAGAUGACAUUUAAUUUCUAGGGUCGAAAUGGAGUAGCGGUCUUGCUUAAUUUUUAUUUGACAUUCCUGACUAUGUAUGUUCGGAUUCAUCAAACUAGUACUGAAAGACAUGUCGAAUUCUACAAGUAAAUGGUACCACUAAGCAGCAUGAUUGGGGAAUAACCCAGAGAACUCAAUUCCAUCAAGAUUAAAUAUACUAAGUAACUGCAUAGGGCUAUUUUGUAGUUUAAUAGAAUGGUACUGCAGAUUAUCAAAAGGAAAGUUACUGCCUAGCUGUGAGUCUGAGUAGAGCUACUUUCACAUUGUUUUAGUAAAGAGGUACCAAAUGAUGCUGCUAUUAUGUUGCUAUCUUUUUAAUAAAAUGAAAAUCUUGAAAUCCACUCUUGAGUAGUAAUUUCAUCUUCUGAGACAGAUACUUGCAUUUUAUAGUUUGUUUUUAUAACUGAAAUGUGAUUUGCCCUUCCAGGCUUCAGAAGGGACCACCUCAACAGAUUUGUGUAUAUUGGGCAAUCCUGUCAUGGGUGUUAACUAACACAGCUUUGCAUCCCAGGCCUUUGGUGGGAUUCUAAGUGGCAGCUGCUGAGUCCGUUUUGUUCCUGGCAUCAGCUUCUGGGAGACUUUUGUGGAGUGAACAUUGCUACCAUGCCUGAACAGCAAGUGAAAUGCUUCCUCUGAUUUUUCUUGAGAAGUAAAUCUCAGCUUCCUGAGAAGUUGACCUCCAUGAGGUCAGUCAGUGUGUUGUCUGCUCAGGGAGGCCACUGAAGUCAGAUGAAGCAGUUAGCCAAAACUACGUCCUUAAAAAUAAAUUAACAGGGGCCCAUGAGAUGGUUCAGCAGGUAAAGGCAUAUAUGCCAAGACGCCCAGUGACCUGAGUUUGGUCAUCAGGACCUACCCAUGUGGCAGGAGAACUGAGUCGCAAAAGUAUGCCAUGGUGUGCAAGCAAGCUGUAUAUUUAGGAUUUAGUCUGACCUUGUGGCUUGGCUGGCCCAUCUGUCAUGAAUUAGGCCCCUGUCUCAGCUGCUCUCUCAGAUAAAGCUAGUCAAUUUGAUUUUCCAAAGGGUUAUGCUACUUAUGCUGGGCUGGAGAGGCUGCCUAGGAAGCUUGCUGAUAGCAGAGAUAGACUAUAAUAUAUGGCCCUUUCGCGUGACUUGAUACAGGGAUUCCAGGUUGGAGCAGCCACUUCUGACAGUAUACCCGUGAUUAAUAUAUCAGCCACAAUAACAGUAUGCCCACUGGAGUUAGUGAGUGGGGUCAGAUACGCAGGCAGACAGACAGAUAGACCCACCCUACCUUCCUUUCCAGCGCUCCAGUCUGCAACUAUUUGCUACAAAGAAGUCACUGAAUUAGUUAUAAUACUGGAUAGCCACAGCUCUUCAGUUCACCAACACCACCAUCCAUUCUAGUUCUCUGCCACAUUAAUUUCUGACUUGACACUACCCUCAUUCGCCUUUGCUGACUCUUCACUCUGGUGUCCUCUGAAAGGUCCUACUUAACUGUUGUUUUGAGUCUUUUUUAGCCUGGCUGGAUUUGAAUUCCUGAUCAUCUGUCUUACCUACCUACCCAACUGUUGCACUAUCAGGUCUGUGCCACCCCCUCAACCCCCCACAACUCCCCAGUAUCUGUGCCUGCCCUUUAUCAGGAAUGAUUGUAGAUACAUGGGAUAAAUUCCUCCAGCAGAAAGGUAAUUUCAAACUGGUGGGAGGUCCAUUUCUGUAGACAGUUACUUGGUCUGACCCUGGAUUAUUUCAGUAUAUGUUGCUACUUAAUUAACCUUCUUUAAACUGACCCGCUUUCUCAAUUUGGUAAAAGGGUCAUGCUAAUCAAAUUGCGUAAGUUAAAAGUGUUCCAUCAGCCGGACGUGAUGGUGCACACCUUUAAUCCCAGCACUCGGGUGGCAGAGGCAGGCGGAGUUCUGAGUUCGAGGCCAGCCUGGUCUACAAAGUGAGUUCCAGGACAGUCAGGGGUACACAGAGAAACCCUGUCUCGAAAAACCAAAAAAACAAACCAAAAAAGUGUUCCAUCAUCUUUACUUUUCUGAGGGAAUUUGUAUUAUAUUGUUAGGUAUAAUUCCCUAGUGAAGCCAGCUUGAGUGUGUGUGUGUGUGUGUGUGUGUGUGUGUGUGUGUGUGUGUGUGUGUGUGUAUGUGUGAUGCAAAUUCAAUGUUAAAAGUUUAGGGUUGGUUAUGUUUCUAAAUAAGCUGUUAUGUGUUCUUUUUAAGCUUUUAUAGAGUUGAUGAACUUAUUUGUGUGAGAUUGUUCAUAUUUCCUUUAAACAUGUAAAGUCUAUUGCAGUGUCUUAUCAUUUACAGAUUGCUUUUGUUUUCUUUUUGUAAUUUUGUGUGUUGCAGGUUUAGAGGUUUUGUUAUUUUAUUUUUUUUAAUCUUUAUUUUCUCCCCCCUAAACUAUGAGUUGGAGCCCUUGACUUGAAACCCUUUCUAUGCAGAUAUUUUAAUGCUCUGUAUCCCCACAAAUCCUGACUCAUUUUGUUUUCAAUCAAUUUAAAACAUUUCAUAAUUCCCCUGGGUUUUGUUUUUUAAUUUGUGAGUUAUUUAAAUGUGUGUUAUUUAGUAUCUAAAUAUUUGGAAAUUUCCAAAGAUCUUUCCCUUUUUCUAAAUUUUAAUUCCUUAUAGUUAGGAAACAUCUGUAUUAUUUUAUUCCUUUUAAUUAUUCUUGUUUAGUGAUCCAUAAAUUCCAUCUGGUAAGUCUUUGUGCACCUGUUAAAAAGAAUGUAACUUUUAACUUCUAUUCUUUUAUAUUUUUGUUAAUUUUGUUUGUUUUCUGUCACUGAGAGGUCUUUAGUUUCAUUUUUCUAUGUGAUUUGAAGUUCUGUUCUUUGACUUGUAAAUGUUUAGUACUGUUAAAUAAUUCACAUUGAGUUGACCCUUAUAUCAUUAUUGUCUUUCUUAUUCCUAGUAAUGUGCUUUGAUAAUAACAGUUUAAAAAUU